rnacentral:lncRNA from 1 species
GGGGGCGGGGAGUGGGGCCGGGCGCGCGCCGGGGCGCCCCACCCCGCCUCCGCCCCCGCCCCACGCGCCGGCGGCGCGGACCUCCUUGUCAAUGGGAGCGCGGGGCCGGGCUGCCCGCAGGACGGUCAGGUGGGCCCCCCAGCUCGCUGCCAGCGCGGCCUCUGUCCCUCUCGGGCCGGCUCUCCAUCUUGUCGCCCGUAGCCCGCCUUCUCCGUGGCUCUCCAGCCGCUGGGGCCGCAGAGCCGAGGCCGGGUUACCUCAGGAAACGCGAUGUGGUAGUGGGUCGGAAUAAACCCGCGCGCCCCAGAAUUCGCCUUGGGGGCGUAAGGACAGAUUCGGACUUUUCGUUUCCUAUGUCCACAUUUAUUGAGCACCUAAUAUGUGACACCCGAGGCUGUAAGAAGAGGAACGCAGCGGGCGGAGAAAAGCCAGAGCUUUUUCUCUGUGAGCCGCUGCCUCCAGGGCCAUAGCCGACCCUGCUCCGAGAUCCCAGCCGCCGCUCUCCGUGCAGGAGGGGUGCCCACCCUGGGGAGGCCAGGGUGCCCGGAGUGGAGGGACAGGGCUUCAAGCGACCGGGAGUUUCCAGCAAACCCCUGAUCCCUGAGCAGUUUAUUUUAAAAGCUUUUGCAAAUGUUGGACGGUUUCGUUUGGUGGAGGCCGUCUUUGCACUAAAUUCUCCUGUCCUCCCCCUUCGAAACGCACAAAAUGAAUUUUGAACAGAUUUUGGAUGAGAGGUUUUCUUCCUUUUUUCAUCUUCUGAAACAUUUCCCCCUCAUUUCUUCUCAGAUAAAGACCCAGAAACCCGGGACAGUUACUCGGUGUACAGCUAGUCAAAUACUGAGGAAACCAGUCGAUAUUUGCCAAAGAUUGGGCAUGUUCUGGGUGGUCUCAGAUUUUGAAGAAACGACUUUUUUACUGCACAAAAUAGUUUUACAAUCAGUUCCAUCAGACAGCCCCAGGGGCUCUCCUAGGGAAAGGGGCCAAUAGGCAAGGUUGCAUGGGGAUAAGAGAGGCAAGCGGCCAGUGGAAAACGGUUUUUUGUUUUUUUUUUCCUAACAGUUGGGCAUUUCUGUAGCUCUGAAAGCAAACUUGUUUGUUUCAUUUCAACGAUAGAAAAAAAACACUCCUGUUUUGGAAAUGUAACCCAGCAUAAAAAUACAUUUGCAAUGGGGAAAAAGAAAGCAGUUUAGGGCCACCCAGAAGAAAAUAUUUUUUCCCUGAUUUUUUUUUAAUUUGGUAUUUCCCAGUGUGGGUUUGCCUCAUUUUACAAAUAGCUGCCCAUGUCAAGAUGUGGGUAUGUGAUUUAAAUAUUUUAAUUUGAAUCACAUUUUACAUAGUCUAGGAAACUGACAAAAGAAUCCUAUAGAGAAUUGUUUUAUAAAGUGAAUAACUGCUUCUCUACCUACCCGCCCCUCUCAUUCUUCUUUUCUGUGCGUGUUUUUGGGGGGCUGUUAUGGGAUAAAUCUUGUUUGGCUUAAAAAUCACUAAAACGCAGCCUUUCAAAUCCAAAACAGAGAGCUUAGGUACCCAACAUUCUAUAGAAUGUAUUAUUUCCUCAAGAGGUUGCUAGGAACAGUUAUGUAGAUCUACCAGGUGCAGGGAAGCACUCCACACCCUCACCCAGGUCCUGUAUCCCUGCAAGACUGCGUUGGAAAGACUGAAGAGGCUGGAGUGCAGUGGCGCAAUCUUGGCUCACAGGAACCUCCGCCUCCCAGGUUCAAGAGAUUCUCAUGCCUCAGCCUCGCGAGUAGCUGGAAUUACAGAGCUGACAAGCCAUAGCAGGACGGCUAUCCCCUGAGAGAUAGGAGAGGAGGAGAAACAGCCUGACAGGGGCCUGGAGCAGCUGGCUGGCGUCAGUAAUUUCCUGCAGGAGACUCUGCUGGCCGAGCACACAUCACCCUUCUGUUGCUCCUCUGUAUUCUCCCUUGUGCUACUAAAAUACGCUAAUGUAACUCCUGGGCUGUGCUAAGCUAAAUGCAGUUAUUUAACCUCAUUUCUAUGGAACCCAGGUCUAAAGCAGCAACAUCUAUUUGGAACAAGAUGGGGAGGAGGUAAGCCCCAAACAUCCCUGAGCAGCAGGAAUACACAUUACAAAGUUUCUCUUUCCACACAGAAGAGACUUCUGGGCCCUUGCUUGAGACCACUGACUUUUACUUAACACCUAGGUCUAGUUAGCUUGGUGAACUGCUUUCUGACACCUGAACAGGUUGGAAGCAGGGAAUCGAAGGUGAGGAAAGACUGCCACAAACAGGAGCCAAGCAAGAGUGAAUUCAUGCUCUUCUUCAUGGAGGUGGAUGUUUCUGGAAGGAGGUUUGUGAUGUCCUUUGCAGGGACAUGGAUGGAGUUGGAAGCCCUUAUCCUCAGCAAACUAAUGCAGGAACAGAAAACCAAACACUGCAUGUUCUUACUUAUAAGUGGGAACUGAAUGAUGAGAACACAUGGACACAUAAGGGGAAAUGACACACACUGGGGCCUGUCAGAGCUGAGGGGUUGUGGGGAGAGGGAGAGAAUCAGGAAUAAUGGCUAAUGUAUGCUGUGCUUAAUAUCUAGGUGAUGGGAUGAUCUGUGCAGCAAACCACCAUGGCACACGUUUACCUAUGUAACAAACCUGGACAUCCUGCACAUGUAUCCUGGAACUUAAAAUAAAAGUUGAAGAAAAAAAAAAAAGAAAAAGUUUUGUGAAGUCUGGAGGUGUAAUGGACAGACACAGGCUUAGGGUGAGGCAGGCCCAUGUUCAGAUCCUUGCUUCCUCACUAAGCUAGCAGGGAGACUGGCUAUAUCACCGAGCCUCAGUUUCCUCACCUGUACAUCUGCUGUAGAAGUGGCAUAUCAUAUGCUGUCCUGGCUGUGACCUUUGGUAGCUCAUCACUGCCCUUCUUACUGUUCUCAGGGUAAACCCCUUUCCAGGCAGAGUUGCCAAGACACCCAGUAAAAUUUGAAUUUCAGAUAAACACUGAAUAAUUUUUUAGUAUAAUGAUGCUCCAAAUAUUGCAUGGGAUAUACUUAACACUAAAAAAAAAAUCAUUGUUUGUCUGAAAUUCAGAUUUAACUGGGCAACCUGCAUUUUUAAAUAAACUUUUAAUUUUAGAAUCAUUUUAGAUUUACAGAAAAAAAUAUAAAGAUCGUACAGAGUUACCACACACCCUGCACCCAGUUUCCCCUAUAACUAAUAUCUUACGUCGAGCCAGUGCAGUGGCGCACAUUUGUAAUCCUAGCUGCUCAGGAGGCUGAGGUGGGAGUAUUGUUUGAGCCCAGGAGCUCGAGGCUGCAGUGAGCCAUGAUUGCACCAUUGCACUCCAGCCUGAGUGACGGAGUAAGAUGCCAUCUUUUAAAAAAAAAUCUUAUGCCAGUAUGAUACAUUUGUCACAAUUAAUGAACUAAGAUUGAUAUAUUAUCAUUAACUAAAGUCUAUACUUCAUUAGAUUUCCUUAGUUUUUCCCCAGUGUCCUUUUCUAUUCCAGGAUCCUGUCCAGGACACCAUAUCAUAUUUAGUUGUCAAGUCUUCCUAGUUCCUCUUGGCUGUGACAGUUUUUUAGACUUCCCUUGUUUUUGAUGACCUUGACCGUUUUGAGGAGCACUGGUCUGGGGUUUUGUAGAAUGCCCCUCAAUUCAGCCUGUCAGAUGUUUUUCUCAUGAUUAGGCUGGGGUAUUAUUUUUUUGGGAGGAAGACCACAGAGGUCAAGAGCCAUUCUCUUCACAUCUCGUUAAGGGUCUGUACUGUCCAUAUGACUUACCACUGUUGAUGUUGACCUUGAUCACCUGGCUAAGGUAGUGUUCAUCAGGUUUAGCAACUGUAUUUUCAUUUGCUAAAUCUGUAACUCGAUUCCAGGCCUGUCAGUCUUUCAUGACCAGACCUUUGCUUACUGCUGCUGCCAUUUUUCUGCUCCAACCAUAGUGAACUGCUAACAAUUCCUCUAAUGAACUAUUCUCUGUCUCUCUUACUGCCAGGCCUUAGGGCUUGCUCUUUCCUUUGCCUGGAAUGUUCCACUCCCCCACAGCCUCCCAUCCACACCUCCCCUUCACCCGAUUAACUUACUUUUCAGUUGGGCUUCAGUGUUCCGCUUAGGUCUCACUCCUUCCGGGAAGAUUUCUUGCACCCUCCUCUGCCAAGACCAGGUUAGGUGUUGCUUCUCUGCCCUGGUCCUACUGUGUUGUGAUAUUUACCAUCCUGUGGUUGUGAACUGUUUGCUUGUCUCCCUGACCCCAGUGCAUCCCUGACAUCUUACACAGUGCCUUGUUGCAACUCAAUAAAUAAUUGCUGAAUAAAUGAAUGGUUACACCAGGCACUUCAGGUAAAGCCUUUAACACACUACCUGCCUUGUAAACAGUAGAUGCUCAGUAAAUGCUUGUCUUUUUCAAUGUAGGAAAAAUAAUCUUCCCUAGAUCUGAGCAACUGUAAUAAGUUUGUGCUCGCCCGACACCCGCAACACAUGUCCCUACCUGGAGAAGAGAUUCUGGAACAGUGGUCUCCUAGGAUUCCCUGAGAGCCACAGUUACCUGUAUCAAAGUAUCAAGGAGGCCACUUAAUGACAGAGAUAUUAGGGUAAGUAGGCUACUUUCCGUCAGUUUGCAGAUUAAAAAGGCAUCUUUCUCCCAGUGGAGAAACUGAAUUAUGAACCCCUUCGCCCAGAUUUCCAUAGUUGGACGCGCUGACCCAUUAUUUUUAGUGAAAGGGACAAAGGGACCCACCUCCUUCUCUUUUUGCUGCCCAUGUGCCACACACAUGUAAAUGACAUGUGUACCUAUUGUUGCUUGUCCUUGAUGAUGAGUACACUUGUACAUUGAUAUAUUUAUUAGUGUUUUGCUUUUCACUAAUCCAGCAUAGUUGUGACCCCACCCCUGAGACCUAAAGGAAGGAGACACCUCAUAGGGGGUCUCAGGAAUCUCUGAUGAACCUUAGGACUAAUUAUAAUUCUUUCAUUUAUUAUAACUUCAUGCCAGGUAUUUUAUCUGCCUCACCUCUAAUCCUCUCAAUAACCUUGCAUGUUUUUAUUCAUCCCGUAUUACAAAUGAGAAAGCUAAGGUUUGGGUGCUUAAGAAAUUUUCCCCAAGUUUUUUUUGUGGUGGAGCCAGCUUGGAGCUAGGGCAAUAGACUUCAGAGUCUCAGCUCCAUCCUCUCCAUGGUUCAGAAAGUUCUCUAGUUCUGUAAGAGACAGCCAACAUCCCCCAAGGGCUUGUGCUCAUUGGAAUGGCUCUCGGGUCCACUCCUCCCUUUGUAUCCCCAGGUCACCUCACUAGAGCAGACCUCCAUCAGUCAGUGUUUACCCACCUUCCAGAGCCUCCUUCCUGGACUCUUGCCCCCGGAUUCCCCACCCAUAGCACUCUCACACUGCCAUCGCCCAACUCAGGAUCCCAAGAAUGCCCAUUUUCAGCCUUAUAAAUCCUUUGCCUUGCUUCCAAGACCCUAUGGUCUAUUUCUUUUCCAAGCCUUCUCUCCGUGCAUCAGAUUCUUCAUGAAACUUACACUGACUAGUCCCCCACCCAUCUCCCUUUCCUUGGAUCUUCAUGGCACCUAGGUAUGCAAGGCAUAAAGUAGUGUAGAAUGCCCUUCUGGCUUGUGUGGAACCACAGGGGAGUCCCCUGGGUUUCUAAUAUGGUUUUCCCAUCUGGAUUGACACCCCCGAAGGACAAAAACCUCUUGUUAAAAAAGUCAACUUUAUUGAGGUAUAACAUACAUACACCCUGUUUUAAGUGUUGAGUUUGAUAAGGUUUGACAAAUGUAUACACCCAGGUAACCACCGUCACAACCAAGAUAUAGAACAUUUCUAUCACCCCAGAAAUACCUCUGAGCCCCUUUGUAGUCAAUUCCUCCACCCCCGACCCAGGAAGCCACUUGUUGGAUUUCUAUUAAUAUAGAUUAGUUUUGCCUGCCGUUGAACUCCACAAAAAUGCAGUCACAAAGGGUGUAGUCUUUUGUGUCAGCCUAUUUUGGUUAGCACGAUAUUUUAAAGAUUCCUCCAUACUGUUUAUUACUUUCUUCUUGCUGAGUAGUAUUCUAUGGUAGAGACUAUACUACAACUUGAUUGUCCAUGUUGACUAAAUUUGAGGCUGUUUCACAUUUUUGGCUAUUGUGAAUAAAGUAGCUAUGAAUGUUUACACACAAGCCUUUUGUGAAUGUGUUUUCAUUUCUU